AUAGUUCAUCUAUUUCAGCUAGGUCUCCAAGAUGCUACAUCCCCUAUUAUACAAGAACUACUCACUUUCCAUGACCACACUCUUAUAAUUCUUUUCCUCAUUAGUUCCCUGGCCCUAUAUAUUAUUUCCCUAAUGCUGACAACAAAAUUAACUCAUGCUAGCACUAUAGAUGCUCAAGAGAACGAGAAUAUGUGAGCUAUUUUACCCACCAUUAUCCUGAUCUUAAUUGUCCUCCCCUGUCUUCGUAUUCUAUACUUGACAGAUGAAAUUAAUAGCCCGUCCCUCACUGUCAAAACAACUGGCCACCAAUGAUACUGAAGCUAUGAGUAUACAGACUAUGAAGAUGUAAGUUUCGAUUCUUACAUGACUCCAACAACAGACUUAAAACCAGGAGAACUUCGACUCCUUGAAGCUGGUAACCAAACAAUUCUCCCAACAGAAAUCCCUAUUCGUAUAUUAAUCUCAUCUGAAGACGUCCUGCACUCACAAACUAUCCCGUCACCGGGCCUCAAAACAGAUGCAAUCCCUGGACGCUUAAAUCAAACCAUUUUAACUGCUACAAGACCAGGCCUUUACUAUGGCCAAUGCUCAGAAAUUUGUGGGUCCAACCACAGUUUUACACUUAUCAUCCUAGAAUUAGUUCCCUUAAAAUGCUUUGAAACCUGAGCAACAUCUACACUA
rnacentral:lncRNA from 1 species